rnacentral:sRNA from 1 species
UGAGCCAUGCUUGCAUGAGCGAAUUUUUGGAUAUCGGAUAUUCUAGAGCCUUUUUCAAACAGGCUCUAGACCGUAUGAGUAAGUAGGGCGAUAGUCUGGAUUACGAAUGUGGUUGGCAGCUGUGGGAGCGCCCAUAGGCGCCAAGCAGCUGACUUUCA